GUCAACACUGUGGCCACCAAGACCGUGGAGGAGGCGGAGAACAUCGCGGUCACCUCCGGGGUGGUGCGCAAGGAGGACUUGAGGCCAUCUGCCCCCCAACAGGAGGGUGAGGCAUCCAAAGAGAAAGAGGAAGUGGCAGAGGAGGUCAUUCUCUCUCCCAGGCCCAGAGUGGGGGAGACUAGAGGGCUACAGGCCAGCGUGGAUGACCUGAAGAGCGCUCCUCUGCCUUGGACACCAUCCCCUCCUAGCACAAGGAGUGCCCGCCUUGAGUGACAUGCGGCUGCCCACGCUCCUGCCCUCGUCUCCCUGGCCACCCUUGGCCUGUCCACCUGUGCUGCUGCACCAACCUCACUGCCCUCCCUCGGCCCCACCCACCCUCUGGUCCUUCUGACCCCACUUAUGCUGCUGUGAAUUUUUUUUUUAAAUGAUUCCAAAUAAAACUUGAGCCCACUCC
rnacentral:lncRNA from 1 species